UAGAAUUCCACGUGUAGCGGUGAAAUGCGUAGAGAUGUGGAGGAAUACCGGUGGCGAAGGCGGCCUUCUGGACAGAUGCUGACGCUGAGAUGCGAAAGCGUGGGGAGCAAACAGGAUUAGAUACCCUGGUAGUCCACGCUGUAAACGAUGUCGAUUUGGAGUUUGUUGCCUAGAGUGAUGGGCUCCGAAGCUAACGCGAUAAAUCGACCGCCUGGGGAGUACGGCCGCAAGGUUAAAACUCAAAUGAAUUGACGGGGGCCCGCACAAGCGGUGGAGCAUGUGGUUUAAUUCGAUGCAACGCGAAGAACCUUACCUGGUCUUGACAUCCACAGAAUCUUGCAGAGAUGCGGGAGUGCCUUCGGGAACUGUGAGACAGGUGCUGCAUGGCUGUCGUCAGCUCGUGUUGUGAAAUGUUGGGUUAAGUCCCGCAACGAGCGUAACCCUUAUCCUUUGUUGCCAUCGGUUAGGCCGGGAACUCAAAGGAGACUGCCGUUGAUAAAGCGGAGGAAGGUGGGGACGACGUCAAGUCAUCAUGGCCCUUACGACCAGGGCUUCACACGUGCUACAAUGGCGUAUACAAGGGAGGCGACCUCGCGAGAGCAAGCGGACCUCAUAAAGUACGUCUAAGUCCGGAUUGGAGUCUGCAACUCGACUCCAUGAAGUCGGAAUCGCUAGUAAUCGUGAAUCAGAAUGU
rnacentral:rRNA from 1 species